CUUUUUUUCUUCUUGGCAGGUGUCCUUGUAGACUUGGGUCUGGAGGAAAAUGGGACAGCUCAUCAGAGAGCAGAGAAAUACGUGGUUCGUCUGGACAAUGAGAUUCAAAGCAAGUUUGAAGUGUUUAUGAGGAGGGUGAAACAGAACCCAUACACACUAUUUGUGCUAGUUCAUGACAACUCCCACGUGGAACUAACGAGGUGAUUGCUUUCGUGUGAGCAAACACAGUAUUUCUUCUAUAGCAGUCAUUGUUACACCAGGAAAUCUUUUAAAGGUGACAGUGUGAAGCCCCAGGGAUCCUAACAUUUAGUGUCUUCCUCCUGCUAACUUAUUCAUAAUCUUUUCUUGCUCCCUCAACUCUUCGUGUGAUUUAGUGUUGAUUUCAUUUUAAAUAUACUGUGAAGGAAUUUAGAAAUUUAUGUUAGAAGUACUGUCGUAAGAAUAUCAUGGGGGCUGGGGCUGGGGCUCAGUGGCAGAGCACUUGCCUAGCAUGUGUGAUGCACUGGGUUCGAUCCUCAGCACUACACAUAAAUAAAUAAAAUAAAGGUCCAUCCAUAACUUUAAAAAAAUUGUUUAAAAAAAGAAUCUUGGAACUCAGUUGCUUCAGAGAGGGCGGGGAGAAGGAGGUCAAGGAAAUAAGCUCCCAGGAGAGAGAUGAGCUUCCUUCUCUAGCUCUUCCCUAAGCUCUUACCCUUUUUCAUUUACUGCUCUUCCAGUGUUUCCUCCUCUUCCUUCUUUUUCUCUCUUCCCUCUUACCUUUAAAAGUAGUGUGGAAAUGCCACUUAAAUGUUCUGAGAGCAGAUCUGAAACCUUCCCAUUUCCCAAUUUAAGAGGAUAUCGUAUUUCUUGAUUGGACGUAUUAAUGAAAGAACAUUAUGUUUGGAAUGAUAGAAGCAGUUUUGCCCCCAGAUCAAAUUGUAAUUAUCUGGUGAGGUAUGCACUAAAAAGGCAAAUCAUUUUUUAAAAAGAGAGGGAAAAAAAGAAAUAAAAAAUAAAUAAAAAUUAAAAGAGAGGGACACACGUAAGGCACUGGGUUCGAUCCCCAGCACCACAUAAAAAAACUAAAUAAACAAAAUAAAGGUAUUGUGUCCAUCUACAACUACAAAUAUUAAAAUAUAUAUAUAUAUAUAUAUAUAUAUAUAUAUAUAUAUAGAGAGAGAGAGAGAGAGAGAGAGAGAGAGAGAGAGACAAAUAGUCAUCGAGUAUGACAUAUCAUGGUUUGCCCUCACCAUGGAAGGACAGGGUGGUUUCAGUCAUCAUUGAACAUUUUAUCAAUCUUCUUUUCUCCAGGAGAAACUGAGGUUAGGAAUCUGGAAGUUCUUUGGUUUAUGGUAAAAAAUGUCAGAAUUAAAAAAAAAAAAAAAAAUCUUGUUCAGAAGCCAGAAUGGGUUUGAUAGGCUGCAAUAUGAAGUCUAGAACCAUGUGUGUGUAUAAAUAAGACCUUACAUUAAUCUGUUAGAUUUAGGAGAAGGAAAAAAGGAAGAGAAGGAGAGGGGAAAGGAGGGAAAAGAAAUUUUACACACAUCUCUUUAGUCAUUGGUAAUGUUCUGUGAGGAGAAAUAGCUCACUAACCUCACACACCUUGUCUUUCAAAGUUUAGGGAAUAUUUUUGAGGACACAACAUUAGAUCUCUCUGUAUUUAACUCCCUGGGUCAUCAAGAUUAUUUCUUUAAUUUAAAAAGUAUGUUUUUUUGCCAGGUACAGUGGCACACACCUGUAAUCUUUAGCUACUCGGGAGGCUAAAGCAGGAGGAUUACAAGUUUGAGGCCAGCUUCUGCAAUUGGGUGAGACCCUGUCUCAAAAUAAAAAAAUAAAAAUAAAAAGGGCUGGAGAUGUAGCUCAGUGGUAAAGUGCAUUAGUCAUUUGGGGAUGUAGGGGACAUUGUGACCAAAAAAAAAAAAAAAACCCUGAGAAAAAAAUAACUAGGAGAAGGAAAGAUUUAUUUUAGCUCAUGGUUUCAGAGAUUUCAGUUGGUGGUUAGCUUGAGGUGAAGGCAGAGCAUCAUGGCAGGAGGGUAAGGCAGAAGAAAGCUGUUCAGCUUGUGGAAGCCAGGAAACAGAGAGAGCGGAAGAAAGGGGACAAGGAUAAGAUAUAAUCCCCAAGGACACACCUCCAGAGACCUGCUUUCUCAACCCAUGCCCCACCUGCCUCCAUUUCCACUACCUCCCAUAGUCCACUUAACUAUCAAUGGAUCAUUCCACUGAUGAUGUCAGAGCCCUCAUGAUCCAAUCACUUCCCAAAAGCUCCACCUCUGAACAUUGCCACAUUGGGGACCAAGCCUUCAAUAAGUGAAAUCUUUGGAGGACAGCACCCUUGGAUUCAAUCCCAGGUAACACAAAAUUUACAUAUACAUAUGCACGUAUCUGAGGAUGCAUGGGAACCUGGUAAAUACAAAUUGAACAGAACUGAAAGAGCUUCAGAGAUACGAGUCUUGGUCACAAGUUGUAAAAGGACAGUUCUCCCCAGAUGGCCUGCCAGUCUGGAAUCCAUGGCAGGAAUAGGAGUGAUUUUGAUACAGAGGAGCUCUGGCUGCAGGGCUCUAAGCAUUGUGUCCUGGUGAAGAGGCUCCCUCAUUCAGGUGAGCUUUCAAAGUCAAGUGCUCUGUCUCAACUACAGCUGUAGCCAUCCCUGGCCUGGAACACUUUGAGGUGUAUCAGGGGCAAACUGAAAAAAAAAAAUCACUAAAAUCUGUGUGCAAAGGGGUAAGAAGUGUAAAAUUUUCCUCUUUCAAAUCACAUUUCAAUUGAAUCUAUUCCCCCCAAUUUAAAAGAACUAGAAAAGUAAGAACUAAAACAUUAUUUCCAUGUUGGUGUCUGCUUCUGUAUUCAGUCAGUUGAAUUAAAAGGUAUUAAUGUGACUUUCCAUUUUUCUACAGCGUCAUUUCGGGCUCUCUAUCCCAUGGCGAACCCAGUCAUGGAUUGGCUGAUAGAGUCAUCAACUGCAGAGAAGUUCUGGAUGCUUUUAACCUCCUGGUGCUCCAGGUCAGCUCCUUCCCAUACACUCUGCAGACCCAGCAGUCCCGGAUCAGCUCCAGCAACGAGGUUCACUGGAUACAGCUGGAUACGGUGGUGAGUUUCCUAUAUACACUCAUAUUCUCACUUUCCCAGGGAGCAGAAACUUGGAACUGAAUGUGGUGAUGGUACAGCUCAAGAGUUCAAAAUAUAAAUAACAUAAUGUUUCAUCUUCUAAAAGUACCAUAUGAUCAUAAUUUUUUUCUUUUUUUUUUUUUUUUUUUGAGAUGAGGUCUCGCUAUGGUGUGCAGGGUGGUCUCAAACUCUUGAGCUCAAGUGAUUCUCCUGCCUCAGUCUUCUGAGUGCUGGGACUAUAGAUACUCAUUACUAUGUCCUGCUAACUACAAUGAUUAGAAAGACUAAAAACUAGUGAAUAGUGUCCUGUGGAAAUUUGAUUAGGCAGUUCUUUUUGGAUAACAUGCAGAUAGAAAAUUAGCAUCCUGUACAGUUUUUUAUGUGAUGCUAUCUGAGAACAUAAUCAAGACCAUGGAUCACCUUGGUGUCUUUAAAUUAUUAAUUUUAUUCUGAGACCUGGAAAUUUUAUUGUCCUCUUGGGUGGCCUCUUUGUCAAGUUCAAGUCUGGCUGAUCUAAUCACUGUUAAUCACUCUCAUGCCCUACAGCAACUGGUUUUUUUCUUUCAACCAAUUCUCAGAUUCUUGUUUACAACUGUGGAAGAUGGCACUGUACUUUAAGGAAUUCAGUAGAAGCAUUGAAUGUGUUGGAAGUAAUCGUAUAAAUAUCCAGGUCUUUAUAUUUUUUUAUUUCAAUCCCUAAUUCCUGAAAAAUAUUUUCUAUGACCUAUAGACUUAAACCAACUAUAUUAUCAAAGAAAUAAGAGUUGGAUAAAAUAAUAAAGAUAAGCCAUUUUGCCAUGAAUCCUCUGUAUAAAAACACUGAACAUUAGGCUGGAGUUGUAGCUCAGUGGUAGAGCACUCACCUAGCAUGGGUGAGGUACUGGGUUCAAUCCUCAGCACCACAUAAAAAUAAAUAAAUAAAAUAAAGGCAUUCUGUCCAUCUAUAACUACAAAAAAAAUUAAAAACACUAAAAACAUUGGCUAUUUUAAAAUAAACAUCUUAUAGCCAGGCAUGCCUGUAAUCCCAGCUACUUGGUAGGCUGAGGCAGAAUGGUCACAACUGUGAGACCAGCUUGGGCACCAUAGUGAGACCCUGUCUCAAAAAUAGAUAGAUAGGGGCUGAGGAUGUAGCUCAAGCAGUAGCGCGCUCGCCUGGCAUGCGUGCGGCCCGGGUUCGAUCCUCAGCACCACAUACAAACAAAGAUGUUGUGUCCGCCAAAAACUGAAAAAUAAAUAUUAAAAAAUUUUUUAAAAAAAUAGAUAGAUAAGCAUGUUUAAGUUAGAAACAUCAAACAUGUCUUACAUCUGAAUAACACUUAUUUAUUUUUUAAUACCUUUAUUUUAUUCAUUUUUUUAAUGUGGUGCUGAGGAUCGAACCCAGUGCCUCACAUGUGCUAGGCAAGUGCUCUACCACUGAGCCACAACCCCAGCAUUUUAUUUAUUAUUAUUUAUCAACCCAGUGCAUUUUAUUUUAUUAUGAAGCAGGAAGGCUGUCCCUCAGGUUGAGCGCUCAUCUUCAACAUUGCGUUGUUCUUUGCAGAAAGCAGGCUCAGUUCCUUGAAUCAACUUAGCAUCAGUAGCCUUUCCAUGAGGACUAUUUUAGGGUGUUUUCACUGCCACAUGAAGAUUGCUCUGAGCUUUUACUUUUUACUUUACUAGGAUCUUGGUGGCAGUUCCAUCCAUCAUUAAGUGGCCAAGUUAGGGGUGAGAUAACAAAGCCUCCACAGUCCUUUGCCUCUAAACUACAGAGUGGGCCUGUGGGCUGCUCUGAUACAGUGGGAUUGUCAACAGAAGGAAUAAAAGGGAAAACUACCUUUUAAAACUAAAAGUGGAGUUACCCCAUGAUCCAGAAAUUACACCAUUAGGACCAUAUCCAGAGAAAUGAAAUCAGUAUGUUGAGGAGACAUCUGCCUUUUCAUGUUUAUUGAAGCACCUACUCACAAUAGCCAAGAUAUGGAAUAAACCUGGGUGUUUAUGGAUAGAUGAAUGAAUAAAGAAAACAUAGUAUGUGUACCUAAUUGAAUAUUAUUCAGCCACCAAAAAAUGAAAUUUUGUCAUUUGCAGCAACAUAGAUGGAACUAUAUUAUUCAUGGUUUAGAAAAAUGUGGAACAAAACAUGUAUGUAUAUAGAUAUAUGUGUAAUGCCCUCUAUGUCUACACAUACACAGUAUAUAGAGGGAAUUAUGUUAAGUGAAAUAAGUCAAGCAUAGAAAGACAAACACUGCAUGUUCUCACUUAACAUGUAAAGCUAAAAAGUUGAUCUCAAAGAAGUAAAGAGUAGAAUAGUGGUUACCAGAUUCUGGAAGGGUAUUCGGAAGUAAUGGAUGGUGAGAGGAUGGUUAACAGAUACAGGAUGCACUUGAAUAGAAGGAAUAAUUUCUAAUAUUUCAUACCAUGGUAGGAUAGCUAUUGUUGACAACAAUUAAUUGAAUAUUUCAAAUUAGCUAAUAGAGAGGAUUUUGAAGGUUCCUAACACAAAGAAAUAUGUCUGAGGUGACAAAUAUUCCAAUUACCCUGAUCUGAUCAUUACACAUGUAAAGAAUUAUUCAAUAUUUACAUACAUGUAUUGAAAUGUCACACUAAAAAAAUAAAUAAAUGUCACACUGUGUCCCAUAAAUAUGUACAAUUAAUAUGUGUCAAUUAAAAAUAAAACUAUAUUAACAUUUUUAAAUCCAACAGAUAGGUGUCCUAUUAUAUGUGGCACAGAGGAAACUAUCCUAUAUACCUGUUCACUCAGUCUUUUCCAGAAGGGAUCACCUCCAUGAUAGGAAGAAGGGCUAAUAGUUCCCGCCCUUUAUUUUUUUCUUACAUGAAAUAAUAAACAGUUUUAAUUUUCCUUAAAAGUCAUUCCUAUGAUUAAGGUUAAUAUAUUAGGUGUAAUAAUGGGAUUGUGGUCAUAUCUUUAAAAAGAGUAGUUAUCUUCACUAUAUAUAGUAAAGUACUUAUGGAUUAAACAUAGGAUUCCAGGAAUUUAUUUAAAAUAAUUGAGGGGGUAGGAACUUGUUAUACCCUUCUGCAAUUAAAAAUCUGAAAAAUCCUAUGGAAUUGAGGUCAACAUAGAGAAAAGGAAAAUAUUACAUUGAUCUGUGUUACAUUACGCUGAAUCUAAUUUAUGACACGUGGGGGAGAAGCUCCUUUAGUUGUCUUGAAGCCAGCGUCCUAUGGAAGAAUAAAUGGAAAAAGCUAAGAAAUUCAACUCAAGAAAACAUUGUCUAGCACUCAUGGACUUGUGUUGGAUCUUCAAAGAAUACACUGAGAACCGAUGGCUAGAGAGAAGGCAGAAUUCAUAUCUAAGUACUAUUAUUCAAAGCAGAAUAAGUCCAUUUCAUAAAUCAUGGAAGAAAACCAGGAAGAAAACAGCUGUGAGGGCAGUGAGGCCAAGGACUAACAAGCAAAUGCCACUGGGUUUGGCCUCAAGAGUCUUUGGUGACCUUCCAGGGAACAGCAUCAGGAGAGCAGAGUGGCUGCAGCCAAGACAGAGCUGGCAGCUCGAGGUGACUGAGACGGAGAGACUUGAGAAGGGGCAUUUUUGUUUUGUUUUGAUUUAUGAGUAGGGCAUUUCCCCCCAAAUAUUUUUACAGUAAAAUAAUUCUGAGUUUCAUGACAUGCUUCAAAGAAUGGCCCCAUUUACUUCUGUAUUACAAAAGUCCCCAUGACACCGUAUUGUAAACAGUGCAGUUACACUUUAAUGCAAACAUAUCAGACUAUUCGUUCCUAAUUCAAAUUUUUAGUAGUUGUAGUCCUCAAAACUCAUAGUGGCUACAGUUAAUCACAAGACAUCAUUAGCAAUCUGCUUUAUAAUUUUGCUACGAAUAAAGAAAAAUAAAAACAAGGAGAGGAGAAUACAGCCUCUCUAGCAAGUUAUAGUGCUAUUGUCAGAAAAGGAGCAGGCACGGAAAAGGAUUUGCUAUUGUUAAAAAAAAAGGGGGGGGCCAAAAAUUGCCACAGUCUGGCUGGGCACAAAUGCCGCAGUCUGGCUGGGCACACAAUCACGAGCCACCACACAGCUUGUAGAUUCAANGGCAAAAAUGAGAAGGAAAUAUGAAGACCAAGUACACACAAGAUAAAGCUUUUCCUAGUGGCUGUGUCCCUGCAGCCCAGAUGAGGAGGGAAAUGGAGAUGAAUGACUUUUUUCCCCCUUGACCUGACUUCCUUGACUCAGCUCCACUGCAGCACACAGCUAAGCCCAGGAGGAAACAAGAAAGGCCUUGGGGCCUUUGCAAUCUCUGUCAGUCUGUGCUCUGCACCUCCAGAAUCUGUAAGAAUAUCCUCAAGUCCUGAGUCCCCAGGUAAAGUCCAUUUAGUCUCAAUGGAGACCUUGUUCCAGUGAGCAGGUUGACUGCGUUAGAGGGCCUCAAAAUGAAUGAAUGAAUGAAUGAAUAAAUAAAUAAAUAAAAGCUGCCCAUUAGGUAGUGCUUUAUUUUUAUCUUCUGGACCCUAUAAAUCACAAAAUUAUUUCUCUCUUUUAGAUGGGUUACUAAAAAGCUCAGAACCAAAUCUGUAAACCAUUUCUCACAAAGAAUGCAGAAACUUCUUUUUUUUAAAUUUUUUUAGAUAUUGAUGGGCCUUUAUUUUAUUCAUUUAUUUAUAUGCGAUGCUGAGAAUCGAACCCAGUGCCUUACACAUGCUGUGCAAGUGCUUUACCACUGAGCCACCACCCCAGCCUGCUGCAGAAACUUCUGACAUGUAUUUUUUUUGAGAGACUAACCUGGCCCAAUUUUAUUUCUCUUACCCUUACUUUUCUUCCUCUGAAUGCCUAAUUUAUUGUUACAUUAUUACACUUUUAAAAGCUGCAUUAUUUCCUCUAUAAAAUAAGUUGAAGAGGGUUUAAAGAAAAAACUAUUAAUACAAAAUGAAUGAAAGACUGAAAUGCCCAGGCAACGUGACAAUAAGAAAAAAUUAUUGUAUAGAAAAGAGACAAGAAAACUAUAUACACAGACACACAAUAAUAAUAAUAACAACCACCACAGACCUAUGGAGUCAAAAGGCUUAAUAUUCUAGGGUUUCCUAGUUAAAGGACAAACAGCUUGUCACACACCUCAGGAUCCUCUAAGGGCAUCAUUGUGUCACAUCCCAAAAUAGCUACUCAUUUUCACAGUGAUGACUGAGUCAUCAAGAAGGGAACGAAUUAAUACUGUGUAAAAGUAUCUAUCUAUCCAUCUGUCUGUCUAUUAUCUAUCUUAUCUAUCUAGUACCAGGAAUGAACCUAGGGGAGCUCUACCACUGAGCCACGUCCCCAGCCCUUUUUAUUUGAAACAGGGUUUUGCUAAAUUGCUUAGGGCCUCUCAAAGUUGCUGAGGCUGACAUUGAACAAUCCUUUUAAGUUUCUGGGAUUACAGGCGUGCACCGCCACACCCAGCAUAUAUUUUGUUUUCAAAAGGAAACUUUGUAAAAUGAUGAGCUUCUUUAUCCUAAGUACAUGUAUGAAGACACGAAUGGUGUGAAAAUACUUUGUGUACAAUCAGUGACUUGAAAAAUCGUGCUCUACAUGUAUAAUAUGUAAUUACAUUCUGCCAUCGUGUAUAACAAAUUAGAAAAAAUAAAUAAUUGAAUGGAAAAAAAAAAGGAUGAGCUUCUGUGAGUUAUCAUUAAAUGAUGUCAGGAAAGUUAAGUUUUCUGUAAAAGGUUUUGAGUUGCUCUCCAGAGAGUUCUGUGGAUAGCACAGAAUCACAGUUCUGUGGAGAGCCUAUUCCAACAGGGAAAGAAUGGGAGUGGAAGCCAUAUGACCUCAUGUAGCCAAACAAAAGAAAAAGAAAACAAACCAUCCCUGUAGUUUGCCUGAAGGAAGUGUGUCAACAACAUUCCACUAGUCACAUAUUAAGUUCUCUUGACUUAGUGUCAAGGUGUGUGGUAUUAGGGACCCAUCCCAGGGCCUCCUGAGUGCUAGGCAAGUGUGCUACACCCAGGGCCCUAAGUUCUCAUGAAGUGAAAAGAAUCUCAGUUAGUUCCUCAUUGAUGAGUUCAGAUUUGGUAUCAGGUUAUAUAACAGAACAACUACUUUCUUUUCACCUCCCAGGAAAUAACCUCUUACAGGGAAUCUCCUCUCUACUCCCUCUAAAAAUGAGACAUUCUGUAUCCCAUCCUCACUGGCUUUUGUUUGUUUGUGUUUGUGUGUGUGUGUGUGUGCACGCCUGCACGCACUUUGAACCAGGAGGACGUGGGCUGUGAGGAGAAGCUGUACUUCGGCUUGAAUGAAUACAGCAAGUCUCUGCAGUGGGGGGUCACAAGCCCACUCCUGAGGUGCGAUGAGACCUUCGAGAAGAUGGUGAACACGCUCUUGGAGAGGUAAAUAAGGACGCCUGCCCUUUUCUUUAGCUGUGCUUACAUGUCACAGGGAGUUUGGAGCUCAUGCAGAUGACAUGCAGAGGCCAAAUAAGAAAAGCCUCUUCUUCUAAGAUGCCUUUUACCCUAUG
rnacentral:lncRNA from 1 species